rnacentral:rRNA from 1 species
UGGGGAAUAUUGGACAAUGGGCGCAAGCCUGAUCCAGCCAUGCCGCGUGAGUGAUGAAGGCUUUAGGGUUGUAAAGCUCUUUCGCCGAUGAAGAUAAUGACGGUAGUCGGAGAAGAAGCCCCGGCUAACUUCGUGCCAGCAGCCGCGGUAAUACGAAGGGGGCUAGCGUUGUUCGGAAUUACUGGGCGUAAAGCGAGCGUAGGUUGUGUCGCAAGUCAGUGGUGAAAUCCCAGAGCUUAACUCUGGAACUGCCAUUGAAACUGCGGUGCUAGAAUCUCGGAGGGGGUAGCGGAAUUCCAAAUGUAGGGGUGAAAUCCGUAGAUAUUUGGAGGAACACCGGUGGCGAAGGCGGCUACCUGGACGAGUAUUGACACUGAGGCUCGAAAGCGUGGGGAUCAAACAGG